rnacentral:pre_miRNA from 13 species
UGGCUGCUUGGCUUCCUGGCAUGCUGAUUUGUGACUUCAGAUUAAAACGACAUUGCCAGGGAUUACCACGCAACC